UUAGAGUUUGAUCCUGGCUCACGAUGAACGCUAGCGACAGGCCUAACACAUGCAAGUCGAGGGGCAGCACUUCGGGUGGCGACCGGCGCACGGGUGAGUAACGCGUAUGUAACCUGCCCAUCAGUUAGGAAUAGCCCAGUGAAAACUGGAUUAAUACCUAAUGAGAUGUAAUGACAGCAUUCGAAUUACAUUAAAGAUUUAUCGCUGAUGGAUGGACAUGCGUAAGAUUAGCUGGUUGGCGGGGUAACGGCCCACCAAGGCGACGAUCUUUAGGGGUUCUGAGAGGAAGGUCCCCCACAUUGGUACUGAGACACGGACCAAACUCCUACGGGAGGCAGCAGUGAGGAAUAUUGGUCAAUGGGCGGAAGCCUGAACCAGCCAAGUCGCGUGAAGGAUGAAGGUAUUAUGUAUUGUAAACUUCUUUAGCAGUGGAGUAAUAAGGGAGUCGUGACUCCUGAUGCAAGUACACUGAGAAUAAGGAUCGGCUAACUCCGUGCCAGCAGCCGCGGUAAUACGGAGGAUCCGAGCGUUAUCCGGAUUUAUUGGGUUUAAAGGGUGCGCAGGCGGCGCUUUAAGUCAGUGGUCAAAUCGUGAGGCUCAACCUCAUCCCGCCAUUGAUUACUGAAGCGCUUGAUUGCGGUCGAGGCCGGCGGAAUUCGUCGUGUAGCGGUGAAAUGCAUAGAUAUGACGAAGAACACCGAUUGCGUAGGCAGCUGGCCAGGCCGUAAAUGACGCUCAUGCACGAAAGUGCGGGGAUCGAACAGGAUUAGAUACCCUGGUAGUCCGCACAGUAAACGAUGAAUAGUUGUUCUUGGCGAUAUACAGUCAGGGGCAAAGCGAAAGCGAUAAGUAUUCCACCGGGGAGUACGCCGGCAACGGUGAAACUCAAAGGAAUUGACGGGGGCCCGCACAAGCGGAGGAACAUGUGGUUUAAUUCGAUGCUACGCGAGGAACCUUACCCGGGCUUGAAAGUUAUGGACAGGGGCAGAGACGCCCUCUUCUCGCAAGAGACCAGAAACUAGGUGCUGCAUGGUUGUCGUCAGCUCGUGCCGUGAGGUGUCGGCUUAAGUGCCAUAACGAGCGCAACCCCUAUGAUCCGUUGCCAGCGGGUAAUGCCGGGAACUCAGAUCACACUGCUUGUUUACGCAAGAGGAAGGUGGGGAUGACGUCAAGUCAGUAUGGCCCUUACACCCAGGGUUGCACACGUGCUACAAUGGCCGGUACAGAGGGAAGCAAGACCGCAAGGUGGAGCCAAUCCCAGAGAGCCGGCCUCAGUUCAGAUCGUGGUCUGCAACCCGACCCCGUGAAGUCGGAUUUGCUAGUAACGGCGUAUCAGCUACGACGCCGUGAAUGCAAUGCCGGGCCUUGCACACACCGCCCGUCAAG
rnacentral:rRNA from 1 species